GACGAACGCUGGCGGCGUGCUUAACACAUGCAAGUCGAACGGAAAGGCCCUGCUUUUGUGGGGUGCUCGAGUGGCGAACGGGUGAGUAACACGUGAGUAACCUGCCCUUGACUUUGGGAUAACUUCAGGAAACUGGGGCUAAUACCGGAUAGGAGCUCCUGCUGCAUGGUGGGGGUUGGAAAGUUUCGGCGGUUGGGGAUGGACUCGCGGCUUAUCAGCUAGUUGGUGGGGUAGUGGCUUACCAAGGCUUUGACGGGUAGCCGGCCUGAGAGGGUGACCGGCCACAUGGGGACUGAGAUACGGCCCAGACUCCUACGGUAGGCAGCAGGGGGGAAUAUUGCGCAAUGGGGGGAAGCCUGAUGCAGCAACCCCGCGUGCGGGAUGACGUCCUUCGGGUUGUAAACCGCUUUCGCCUGUGACGAAGCGUGAGUGACGGUAAUUGGUAAAGAAGCACCGGCUAACUACGUG
rnacentral:rRNA from 1 species